GUCUGCUUUCAUGGGGUUUAUUGAAUCCAGGAAAGAACUGUGAGUAGUAGCGAACCAGACAUGAAAAGUUUCAGAGAACUACGAAAACUCCGGUCAGUUUUGUCGGGAUCUUGUGACACAGUUCCAGGACUCUAUUGACUAAGGAAAUGAUAUAUAUGUGUGAUUUAUCCUGUUAAAACUUUUAGUGUUCACUUAGGGGUGAGUGCAACCAGUAACUGAAUUUAGACUACGAACUAGAGUAUGACAGUAAAGUCAGGAGCAUGAUGGAGAACACACGGGACAUUGAGGACUAAUGGUCAACACUUAAAUCUUGCUUUACAUACAGUUCAGUUCCAAGUAGUCUGAUACAUAGAUGGCGAGGGGAGUGCUGAUUUGGGGUUGAUUUUGGUAAUUAUAUAUUUUCCUUGAUGACUGUCAUUUUGUUGUCCUACAUGUGCUAUAUGAUAUGCAUAACAACUUGAGAGCACCUUUGCUUCUCUUGAUGUGCUUCGUCAUACAGUUUUUUAAAGUGCACAAGCAAGCUUGCGAGUGAUGACAACUACUAUGACCUACAACCUUGAAUCUAGGUUUUUGGGGUUGAACAUAGGGGCACAGCGCGCUCUCCCAUCUAACCAGUGAAGCGUAAUGAAGGAAAAGCUACAAUAUACAAAUCGUCACCGUCAUUCAGUUUGUCCAAAACUGAGAAAAGCUCUUUAAAAAAACUGGGAAAAGCUCACGUGAUGGAAUGAGAUGAGAUUUCAACAUCAUGAUUGCGUUUUAUAAUUUGAACGACCAAAGUAGAUGGUCCCGUCAGCCCGUGUUUGACAAUAUGAAGGGACAAACUUGUUGAUCCAUUAUUUUGCCAGGAAAAUACAAUAAUUCGGAGGGCUUAAAUAUGGAUAAUAGAUCUGACAUAAUCUAGCAAGGUGAGUGACUCAAUUGCACAUGUGCAAAAUGGAAGUUUAAACUUCCUUGAAUCUCUUGUAGGGUUUGGGGGAGAUUGUCAGCGAGCCACUGAUGAAAGUCCUUUUGCGAUGACAAUGCUAGAGAAGAUUUGAAAGAUCUUGGUUGGCGUGGGGCAACUUGUGUAUUCCUGGAUGGGGGCGCCGUCCGGUGGCAGUGGGGUGUGGCAGUUGCCGCAGCUGGGCACAACCGGGAGUCCACCUAUCCAGAACACCCAACUAUUUCAUCCGGUGAACUGCGAAGAGCUUCUGUGUGCGUCUCCGUUAUAUUUAACUACGACAGGCUUAUGUUAUCUUAUCGCGAACUCAUUUUUCAGUUUGUGCCCAACGUGACUGCAUGUAAAUAUGUAAUACAGCAAUUUUGUUCUUCCUUUUUGUUGUUCGAUUGACUCAGUAUACCAUCUCAAAUGUCAUUCCCUUUAUAGCUAGCACAUCAUCUCCAAAGAAUUUAUUUAAGUUGAAAUCCAGUAAUUAUAUGUUGAUCGCAUAAGCAGGCUGAUGGUGUCUUGGUCGAAUUUUUUUAUUCCUUCUCUAUGGAACUAAAACUGUUCUUUCCUGAAUAUAUUGGAUCGCAAAGAACUAAACCUAUGUACAAUGUCUUUGGGCAUAUUCUGAAUUUGCAGAAUUAGCACAAAUCUGAAAGCAUAUAUGCAGCUCCCAGAUGUUGCAGGCUAGAGGAAGGGCAGGCACUCAUGCGAUACCAUGUAUCUGGUUGGACGCGCCGGGUGUGGGGACACUGCAGGACAUGUUUGAUUAUCAUGUCAGUGAAUUCUGGCGAGAAUGAACCAAGUGAGCUUUUGUAGCUGGUCUAUUCAAAAUGGAUGAACGGACCAGUUAGUGUACAUAUAAGUUUGCACUCUGUCUUCCUGCUCAUUCGUGCAAUGUGUUCAUGGGAGACUUAUUUUAGGAAAACAUAAAAUAAUUUUUCUUUCUGUGCGUACUACUCCAGCUUUCAAGUGCCAGGCUUCAAUAAAUCUGAAAUUUCUAUCGCUC